GGGGCUGUAGCUCAGUGGUAGAGCGCUUGCCUCACACGUGUGAGGCACUGAGUUUGAUCCUCAGCACCACA
rnacentral:tRNA from 1 species